AGAGUUUGAUCCUGGCUCAGGAUGAACGCUGGCGGCGUGCUUAACACAUGCAAGUCGAGCGAAGCACUUAAGUUUGAUUCUUCGGAUGAAGACUUUUGUGACUGAGCGGCGGACGGGUGAGUAACGCGUGGGUAACCUGCCUCAUACAGGGGGAUAACAGUUAGAAAUGGCUGCUAAUACCGCAUAAGACCACAGUACUGCAUGGUACAGUGGUAAAAACUCCGGUGGUAUGAGAUGGACCCGCGUCUGAUUAGGUAGUUGGUGAGGUAACGGCCCACCAAGCCGACGAUCAGUAGCCGACCUGAGAGGGUGACCGGCCACAUUGGGACUGAGACACGGCCCAGACUCCUACGGGAGGCAGCAGUGGGGAAUAUUGCACAAUGGGCGAAAGCCUGAUGCAGCGACGCCGCGUGAAGGAUGAAGUAUUUCGGUAUGUAAACUUCUAUCAGCAGGGAAGAAAAUGACGGUACCUGACUAAGAAGCCCCGGCUAACUACGUGCCAGCAGCCGCGGU
rnacentral:rRNA from 1 species